rnacentral:rRNA from 1 species
GACGAACGCUGGCGGCGUGCCUAACACAUGCAAGUCGAACGGAAAGGCCCUGCUUUUGUGGGGUGCUCGAGUGGCGAACGGGUGAGUAACACGUGAGUAACCUGCCCUUGACUUUGGGAUAACUUCAGGAAACUGGGGCUAAUACCGGAUAGGAGCUCCUGCUGCACGGUGGUGGUUGGAAAGUUUCGGCGGUUGGGGAUGGACUGGCGGCUUAUCAGCUUGUUGGUGGGGUAGUGGCUUACCAAGGCUGUGACGGGUAGCCGGCCUGAGAGGGUGACCGGCGACAAUGGGACUGAGAGACGGCCCAGACGGCUACGGGAGGCAGCAGUGGGGAAUAUUGCAGAGUGGGCGGAAGCGUGAGGCAGCAACGCCGCGUGCGGGAUGACGGCCUUCGGGUUGUAAACCGCUUUCGCCUGUGACGAAGCGGGAGUGACGGUAAUGGGUAAAGAAGCACCGGCUAACUACGUG